rfam:Candidatus Burkholderia crenata strain TZHbot9 BCREchr_ctg361, whole genome shotgun sequence.
GUGAGGGUGACCGAGCGUGGGGAGAAAGCGUGAGCGAUACUGAGCCGAUGUACAAGAACCGGAUAGAAGGCGGUGCUGAUCAGGGCAAGCGGGCACGUAUCCG